AAGAAAUUAGUUAAAUUAUAAUAUUAAUUUGUCAAGUUAAAGUUAUCUCUUUAUAGAUAUUUCUUA
rnacentral:tRNA from 1 species